AUGUGCCAAAAGAAAAGUCAGACCAAAGGAACACUCUGCCCAUCCCCAACAAUGCCAGUGAUCAAGUCAAACAUGACCAAAGGAACAUUCUGCCCAUCCC